GGCCAUGUAAACAGGCUGCACAGGGCUAACUUAUUCCAAUCAAGACAGUGAGGAGAAAAAAAUAAAUCUUGUCUGCAGGAGGGACAUGUGGGAUGGAUCAUAAGCCAGGAGCCAGAGCUGCUCUCUUCCCUCAGUUCCUCUCCUCUGGGCCAGUGAAUUACAGCUGUGCAGAACCUGCAAUCUCCCUGCCUGCAGCUGAAGAGCAGAGAUGAACUUCUUUGCAUCCAUGUGUUGCUAAACACACAGCUUCUACUGGUUUCUGCACAUUUGUGUACUCCAAAUCAAAAUCACAGUGAUCAUUCUGGAAAUGGAAAUAUGAUUGCUGGAUCCACCUCUGAGCCCUGAACUUGUAUCAGGUAUGAAGAAAACUGGAACAAAAAAGAAUCUUCCUGGGUGAGAUUAUUCACAAGGAAACACUAAAUGAAUCAUAGUUUAUGAAAGAGGAAGAACCCUAGAGCAGGUUGAGAUAUAUUAAAGGACGUUCAGAAAGAUAGCAACAUAAAAAAAUCUCCAAGUGAAAGAACUGUCUAGGGACUAAUGAAAAGGAUGCAAUGACAAUACUUAUGACAAUGAUACUAUAUCCCAAGUGUAACAGAUGGCUUAUAUAUAAAAUACAUGGCAUGAGAUAAAAAUAUCUAAACAUAAGAAAUAAUAUUUUUAAAUGAAGAAAGGUAUUUUCACUCAUUAUAUUUUCCAAAUAUUGCUGGUGGGAGCUUCUGACUGCAUGAGUUCACAGAGGUAAUGCAUGCAAAUACUUUAGACAGUUUCACAUUAAAAAGAAUUUACACUGUAUAUGAUUUUGAUAAACCAAAUUAUUAUUGAAUACAUAUUAUACUGCAGAAUCCUAAGAACUCAUAGCAGGUUGCAAGCCUACGUAAAUCAUGUGUUUUUAAGGUUGGAGCUCACCCUCUAUUUUCCCAGUAAGCUAAUCUUGUUUCAUGGCUGAGUUCCUAUGCACUGUGGCAAUACAAAUCAAUAAUAAUUUUCUUAUGUUCUCAUUACUUAAAUGAUAAGCAUACUGCAAAGCUUAAAGGCUUUAAAAUUCUCAGAUAAAAUUUGAUUAAUACACUAAGUUGUUAAAGAAAUUUUACUGUUCUAAAUGCAGAUCAUUGUCAAUGUCUCAACUAUUGGGUACUCAAUGGUAAUGUAAACAGUUACUCUGUAUUACAGAUUAUAAUAAUUAUGGAAUGUUUUACAUUGUAAAGCACUAAAAUAAAGAUUAGCUGAACUUUGAGCACUGAUGCCAUAGGCAAAUGCAUGGGGGAAGCUGAAACUCACAAACAUCACAGGACUUUCUUCCAAAUUUUCUGCUGGGAUAUAGACAUGACUGAACUUGAGUGAUCUGCCAAAGCACACUUCUUUACAAUGCUACAGUUUUACAUUAUCAUACAAUGGUGCAAAUAGUAAAUAUAGCAAACUUUAAAACUUCUGACAGAACAUGCAAAAAAACAGCCCUAUCCUGUCAAUUUGAUUUACAUAUAAUGUAAUAUAUAUUCUACUUCAAAACAAUAUCAUUUUAGAAAUAUAUAUAUUACAUAAUUUCUAUUAAAUAGCUCAUUAAACAAACCCACCAAGAGACAAAGACCAAUUUUUUUUUGUUAAGUU